rnacentral:tRNA from 1 species
GCCCGGGUGGCGAAAUCGGUAGACGCAAGGGACUUAAAAUCCCUUGGGAGUAAUCCCAUGCGGGUUCGAGUCCCGCCCCGGGCA